GAAAUUCAUUCAUUAAUGAGUAAUCAUGACAUUACAAGGGGUCAUAAAAUGAUGAAUUCGGGUUAGUUACUAAGCUAUUAUUAAGAGUUCUUGAGAGGGUCCGAAUAGUUCUUAUGGAGAUUUAUCCAAGAUGACUUACAUCCUCUGGAACUCUGGUUUCUACCUCAAGACGUCCCUCUUUCCAUUCGUUGCUAUUUCAAUUCCCUGAAGAAUUUUCCGUAUGUGGAUUUACGCCGAAAAAUGGAAUUCGGAGCAAAGAUUGCCAACAAGUGGAUUACUGGCAAUUGCUGGAUGGCAAGCAAUAGGAUACAGGGAAUAACUUCGGUAGCCCAAUGCAAAUAUUCAGUCAGACCAUCACUCAAGAGGCAAGCUCAUCAGCAAAGACGAAAUUGUUCCUCUUGCUUCAAAAGUACUUCCAUAAAACAAAUGUGAACAUUAUUAUUAUUUUUUGUGUAUUAAUGACAAUUUGAAAAUAAAAUUGAUUAUUUAGUUAA